GACGAACGCUGGCGGCGUGCUUAACACAUGCAAGUCGAACGGAAAGGCCCUGCUUUUGUGGGGUGCUCGAGUGGCGAACGGGUGAGUAACACGUGAGUAACCUGCCCUUGACUGUGGGAUAACUUCAGGAAACUGGGGCUAAUACCGGAUAGGAGCUCCUGCUGCAUGGUGGGGGUUGGAAAGUUUCGGCGGUUGGGGAUGGACUCGCGGCUUAUCAGCUUGUUGGUGGGGUAGUGGCUGACGAAGGCUUUGACGGGUAGCCGGCCUGGGAGGGUGACCGGCCACAUUGGGACUGAGAUACGGCCCAGCCUCCUACGGGAGGCAGCAGUGGGGAAUAUUGCACAAUGGGCGGAAGCCUGAUGCAGCACCGCCGCGUGCGGGAUGUCGGCCUUCGGGUUGUAAACCGCUUUCGCCUGUGACGAAGCGUGAGUGACGGUAAUGGGUAAAGAAGCACCGGCUAACUACGUG
rnacentral:rRNA from 1 species